AUACGGAGGGGGUUAGCGUUGUUCGGAAUUACUGGGCGUAAAGCGCACGUAGGCGGAUUAAAAAGUUAGAGGUGAAAUCCCAGGGCUCAACCCUGGAACUGCCUUUAAAACUAGUAGUCUAGAGUUCGAGAGAGGUGAGUGGAAUUCCAAGUGUAGAGGUGAAAUUCGUAGAUAUUUGGAGGAACACCAGUGGCGAAGGCGGCUCACUGGCUCGAUACUGACGCUGAGGUGCGAAAGCGUGGGGAGCAAACAGGAUUAGAAACCCCGGUAGUCC
rnacentral:rRNA from 1 species